rnacentral:rRNA from 1 species
AGAGUUUGAUCCUGGCUCAGGACGAACGCUGGCGGCGUGCUUAAUACAUGCAAGUCUACGAGAAAGUCGACUUCGGUUGGCGAGUAAAGUGGCGAACGGGUGAGUAACGCGUAGGUAACCUGCCUUCAAGUCUGGAAUAACCUCUCCAACGAGGGGCUAAUACCGGAUAUUGUGCAGCUUUCACAUGGAAGCAGUAUUAAAGAGGGGGAUUCUUCGGAACCUCUUGCUUGAAGAUGGACCUGCGUUCCAUUAGUUUGUUGGUGAGGUAACGGCUCACCAAGACUACGAUGGAUAGCCGGCUUGAGAGGGUGACCGGCCACACUGGGACUGAGAUACGGCCCAGACUCCUACGGGAGGCAGCAGUAGGGAAUAUUGCGCAAUGGCCUAACGGCUGACGCAGCAACGCCGCGUGACUGAUGAAGCUUUAAGGAGUGUAAAAGUCUGUUAGGAGGGACGAAUAGUAUAGACGUUAAUAACUUCUAUACCUGACGGUACCUCCAAAGAAAGCUCCGGCCAACUCCGUGCCAGCAGCCGCGGUAAUACGGGGGGAGCAAGCGUUGUCCGGAUUUACUGGGCGUAAAGGGCUCGUAGGCGGGUUUGUAAGUCAAAGUGAAAUCUGUCGGCUUAACCGACAAACUGCUUCUGAUACUGCAAGCCUUGAGUAAGAUAUAGGAAAGCGGAAUUCCUGGUGUAGCGGUGAAAUGUGUAGAUAUCAGGAAGAACACCGGUGGCGAAGGCGGCUUUCUGGGUCUUUACUGACGCUGAAGAGCGAAAGCGUGGGUAGCGAACAGGAUUAGAUACCCUGGUAGUCCACGCCCUAAACGAUGAACACUAGGCGUUGGAGGGUCGGCCCCUUCAGUGCCGUAGCUAACGCAUUAAGUGUUCCGCCUGGGGAGUACGAUCGCAAGGUUGAAACUCAAAGGAAUUGACGGGGGCCCGCACAAGCGGUGGAGCAUGUGGUUUAAUUCGAUACUACGCGAAGAACCUUAUCCUGGGCUUGACAUGCGCGGAUGGGCCGCCUGAAAGGGAUGGCUCCUGCCUUCGGGUGAAACGUGCACAGGUGCUGCAUGGCUGUCGUCAGCUCGUGUCGUGAGAUGUCGGGUUAAGUCCCUUAACGAGCGAAACCCUUGUCACUAGUUGCCAGCGGGUCAUGCCGGGGACUCUAGUGAGACUGCCGGUGUUAAACCGGAGGAAGGUGGGGAUGACGUCAAGUCCUCAUGGCCUUUAUGCCCAGGGCUGCACACGUCCUACAAUGGCGCGUACAAAGGGAAGCGAACCUGCGAGGGCAAGCAAAUCCCAAAAAGCGCGCCCCAGUUCGGAUUGCAGGCUGAAACCCGCCUGCAUGAAGCCGGAAUCGCUAGUAAUCGCGGGUCAGCAUACCGCGGUGAAUGUGUUCCUGAGCCUUGUACACACCGCCCGUCAAGCCACGAAAGUGGGGGGCCGCCGAAGUCGCCGAGCUAACCCGAAAGGGAAGCAAGCGCCGAAGCGGAACUCCGCGAUUGG